rnacentral:rRNA from 1 species
GCUUCUUUUUCCCCGGAGCUUGCUCCACCGGAAAAAGAAGAGUGGCGAACGGGUGAGUAACACGUGGGUAACCUGCCCAUCAGAAGGGGAUAACACUUGGAAACAGGUGCUAAUACCGUAUAACAAUCGAAACCGCAUGGUUUUGAUUUGAAAGGCGCUUUCGGGUGUCGCUGAUGGAUGGACCCGCGGUGCAUUAGCUAGUUGGUGAGGUAACGGCUCACCAAGGCCACGAUGCAUAGCCGACCUGAGAGGGUGAUCGGCCACAUUGGGACUGAGACACGGCCCAAACUCCUACGGGAGGCAGCAGUAGGGAAUCUUCGGCAAUGGACGAAAGUCUGACCGAGCAACGCCGCGUGAGUGAAGAAGGUUUUCGGAUCGUAAAACUCUGUUGUUAGAGAAGAACAAGGAUGAGAGUAACUGUUCAUCCCUUGACGGUAUCUAACCAGAAAGCCACGGCUAACUACGUGCCAGCAGCCGCGGUAAUACGUAGGUGGCAAGCGUUGUCCGGAUUUAUUGGGCGUAAAGCGAGCGCAGGCGGUUUCUUAAGUCUGAUGUGAAAGCCCCCGGCUCAACCGGGGAGGGUCAUUGGAAACUGGGAGACUUGAGUGCAGAAGAGGAGAGUGGAAUUCCAUGUGUAGCGGUGAAAUGCGUAGAUAUAUGGAGGAACACCAGUGGCGAAGGCGGCUCUCUGGUCUGUAACUGACGCUGAGGCUCGAAAGCGUGGGGAGCAAACAGGAUUAGAUACCCUGGUAGUCCACGCCGUAAACGAUGAGUGCUAAGUGUUGGAGGGUUUCCGCCCUUCAGUGCUGCAGCUAACGCAUUAAGCACUCCGCCUGGGGAGUACGACCGCAAGGUUGAAACUCAAAGGAAUUGACGGGGGCCCGCACAAGCGGUGGAGCAUGUGGUUUAAUUCGAAGCAACGCGAAGAACCUUACCAGGUCUUGACAUCCUUUGACCACUCUAGAGAUAGAGCUUCCCCUUCGGGGGCAAAGUGACAGGUGGUGCAUGGUUGUCGUCAGCUCGUGUCGUGAGAUGUUGGGUUAAGUCCCGCAACGAGCGCAACCCUUAUUGUUAGUUGCCAUCAUUUAGUUGGGCACUCUAGCAAGACUGCCGGUGACAAACCGGAGGAAGGUGGGGAUGACGUCAAAUCAUCAUGCCCCUUAUGACCUGGGCUACACACGUGCUACAAUGGGAAGUACAACGAGUCGCGAAGUCGCGAGGCUAAGCUAAUCUCUUAAAGCUUCUCUCAGUUCGGAUUGUAGGCUGCAACUCGCCUACAUGAAGCCGGAAUCGCUAGUAAUCGCGGAUCAGCACGCCGCGGUGAAUACGUUCCCGGGCCUUGUACACACCGCCCGUCACACCACGAGAGUUUUAACACCCGAAGUCGGUGAGGAACCUUUUGAGCCAGC